rnacentral:rRNA from 1 species
CCUACGGGAGGCUGCAGUGGGGAAUAUUGGUCAAUGGGCGCAAGCCUGACCCAGCAACGUCGCGUGAAGGAAGAAGGCUCUCGGGUUUUUAACUUCCUUUUUCACGGACGUAGAAAGUGACGGUACCUGAGGUAUAAGCCACGGCUAACUACGUGCCAGCAGUCGCGGCAAUACGGAGGUGGCAAGCGUUAUCCGGAUUUACUGGGUGUAAAGGGUGUGUAGGCGGGACUGUAAGUCAGAUGUGAAAACCACGGGCGCAACCUGUGGCCUGCAUUUGAAACUGUAGUUCUUGAGUACUGGGGAGGCAGACGGAAUUCCUGGUGUAGCGGUGAAAGGCGUAGAUAUUAGGAGGAACACCAGUGGCGAAGGCGGUAUGCUGGACAGCAACUGACGCUGAGGCGCGAAAGCGUGGGGAGCAAACAGGAUUAGAUACCCCUGUAGUC